UUGUGUUCAUUUGUUUGACUGCUUGUGAGUGUAGCUGGGAGAAAAGACACCACUCUGGAACCAGACUGUACGCUGAGGUGCCAAAAAAAUGUGGAUGCCAUCACGCACAUCUCGACGAAAUGUCAGUGUUCCCGUGAGUGAGAGCCUGCAAGCAAUACGUUCGUAAGGUACAGCGGCGAAACUAACAAUGUGACGGCAACGAGGGUAGCCGGUACCCUCAGUCAGGGCAUGAUAAUACGAGUAACAGCGGUCCAAUGCUCUUGGAACACGGCGCGUUUCUAUCCCGCAAUUCUCAAACAAGUGGUUCGCAUGUCACGGACAUUUAUGAAGACGCUUCCGAUGAAGGUAUAGAAGAAGUACAUGUGUUACACCAGCGAGGGUCACAUAUGGCUCAUUUGAGCAACGCUUGUACGGAACAGGCGUUACCGAUGGCAAAGUGUCGAUGACUAAAGUGCAUGGACGCUUGUACAGAUGUUCAGUCACAGGUGCAAUUCUGAAGGACACUCUCCACUAACAUACAUGGACUUGAGCGACGUUCAAGAAAAUUCUGUCACGCCAACUUCUGCAGCAUGACUGUUCUCCCGCACUGAAAGACCUCCCUUGUAUGUCAACGUCAAAAAUCGCAGACCAAUCCAAGAUGUGCCGCCUCCACCUACUUGGCAACCUUAUUCUCACCGUAUGAUUCAUUCCAGUGUUUCAUGGCCUUGCAUUGAACGUGUUGUACUUUAACGCUGGUAAAAUUAAGACAUUCAUCAUGCAGUGAAUGAAGCUGGGCAUCCGGACCCUGAAUUUCCCAUCGGGGUACGCAGAAUUAUGUAUUUCCAGCCAUACAAAACGCUUUUGAACAUGCUUUCAGCAUGGUUGGCAAACCAGUCCAACCUAAAUUUUAGAACCGCUGGAUGACCUUGACACUUUAUGCGCUUCAUAUCGCUUUCGACAUUGUCACACAGAGUCCCACACAGUCCGCCAAGUAUACAAGGAUGCAAUGGCAGACGAGGGAAAUGAAUGAGCGUCUACUUCAGCCAGUGUGGCAGUCAGCCCAGCUGUCUCAGUCCCAGCGAAUAAGGCAACCAGACGCACAAACUUCACAGUAUGCUGUGCGUAUCCCAAGCAGAAAUCAACAAGAUGAGCGGCCCCUCCCCCGUACUGCUGCAGUGUAUAUCCUGCACAUGGUAGGAACAUUUUCCUGUAUGUUAGAAGUGCAUUGCAGAUCAUAAUUCAUUCUGUAGUCAGCAUCAUAAAAAAGAAAAAAAAAAGGAUCGCGUACUAUAC